rnacentral:rRNA from 1 species
UGACUGCGUACCUUUUGUAUAAUGGGUCAGCGACUUAUAUUCUGUAGCAAGGUUAACCGAAUAGGGGAGCCGGAGGGAAACCGAGUCUUAAUUGGGCGUUAAGUUGCAGGGUAUAGACCCGAAACCCGGUGAUCUAGCCAUGGGCAGGUUGAAGGUUGGGUAACACUAACUGGAGGACCGAACCGACUAAUGUUGAAAAAUUAGCGGAUGACCUGUGGCUGGGGGUGAAAGGCCAAUCAAACCGGGAGAUAGCUGGUUCUCCCCGAAAGCUAUUUAGGUAGCGCCUCGUGAAUUCAUCUCCGGGGGUAGAGCACUGUUUCGGCUAGGGGGCCAUCCCGGCUUACCAACCCGAUGCAAACUGCGAAUACCGGAGAAUGUUAUCACGGGAGACACACGGCGGGUGCUAACGUCCGUCGUGAAGAGGGAAACAACCCAGACCGCCAGCUAAGGUCCCAAAGUCAUGGUUAAGUGGGAAACGAUGUGGGAAGGCCCAGACAGCCAGGAUGUUGGCUUAGAAGCAGCCAUCAUUUAAAGAAAGCGUAAUAGCUCACUGGUCGAGUCGGCCUGCGCGGAAGAUGUAACGGGGCUAAACCAUGCACCGAAGCUGCGGCAGCGACACUAGGUGUUGUUGGGUAGGGGAGCGUUCUGUAAGCCUGUGAAGGUGGCCUGUGAGGGUUGCUGGAGGUAUCAGAAGUGCGAAUGCUGACAUAAGUAACGAUAAAGCGGGUGAAAAGCCCGCUCGCCGGAAGACCAAGGGUUCCUGUCCAACGUUAAUCGGGGCAGGGUGAGUCGACCCCUAAGGCGAGGCCGAAAGGCGUAGUCGAUGGGAAACGGGUUAAUAUUCCCGUACUUGGUGUUACUGCGAAGGGGGGACGGAGAAGGCUAUGUUGGCCGGGCGACGGUUGUCCCGGUUUAAGCGUGUAGGUGUGUGUUCCAGGUAAAUCCGGUUCACUUUAACACUGAGGCGUGACGACGAGGCACUACGGUGCUGAAGCAACAAAUGCCCUGCUUCCAGGAAAAGCCUCUAAGCAUCAGGUAACAUCAAAUCGUACCCCAAACCGACACAGGUGGUCAGGUAGAGAAUACCAAGGCGCUUGAGAGAACUCGGGUGAAGGAACUAGGCAAAAUGGUGCCGUAACUUCGGGAGAAGGCACGCUGACACGUAGGUGAAGUGAUUUACUCAUGGAGCUGAAGUCAGUCGAAGAUACCAGCUGGCUGCAACUGUUUAUUAAAAACACAGCACUGUGCAAACACGAAAGUGGACGUAUACGGUGUGACGCCUGCCCGGUGCCGGAAGGUUAAUUGAUGGGGUCAGCGCAAGCGAAGCUCCUGAUCGAAGCCCCGGUAAACGGCGGCCGUAACUAUAACGGUCCUAAGGUAGCGAAAUUCCUUGUCGGGUAAGUUCCGACCUGCACGAAUGGCGUAAUGAUGGCCAGGCUGUCUCCACCCGAGACUCAGUGAAAUUGAACUCGCUGUGAAGAUGCAGUGUACCCGCGGCAAGACGGAAAGACCCCGUGAACCUUUACUAUAGCUUGACACUGAACAUUGAGCCUUGAUGUGUAGGAUAGGUGGGAGGCUUUGAAGUGUGGACGCCAGUCUGCAUGGAGCCGACCUUGAAAUACCACCCUUUAAUGUUUGAUGUUCUAACGUGGACCCGUGAUCCGGGUUGCGGACAGUGUCUGGUGGGUAGUUUGACUGGGGCGGUCUCCUCCUAAAGAGUAACGGAGGAGCACGAAGGUUGGCUAAUCCUGGUCGGACAUCAGGAGGUUAGUGCAAUGGCAUAAGCCAGCUUGACUGCGAGCGUGACGGCGCGAGCAGGUGCGAAAGCAGGUCAUAGUGAUCCGGUGGUUCUGAAUGGAAGGGCCAUCGCUCAACGGAUAAAAGGUACUCCGGGGAUAACAGGCUGAUACCGCCCAAGAGUUCAUAUCGACGGCGGUGUUUGGCACCUCGAUGUCGGCUCAUCACAUCCUGGGGCUGAAGUAGGUCCCAAGGGUAUGGCUGUUCGCCAUUUAAAGUGGUACGCGAGCUGGGUUUAGAACGUCGUGAGACAGUUCGGUCCCUAUCUGCCGUGGGCGCUGGAGAACUGAGGGGGGCUGCUCCUAGUACGAGAGGACCGGAGUGGACGCAUCACUGGUGUUCGGGUUGUCAUGCCAAUGGCACUGCCCGGUAGCUAAAUGCGGAAGAGAUAAGUGCUGAAAGCAUCUAAGCACGAAACUUGCCCCGAGAUGAGUUCU